AAUGGAGACCUAUGGUAACUGCCUUGAAGUUGGCAAAGUACCUAAGCAGUAGAAGUCUUGAAGAACUUGUUAGUUCUUUAAGAAGUCAUGCGAUAGAACUCGAGGAAGAUGAACCUCAGAAGCAAGGUAAAUUUGUUUCUUUGAAGUCCAAGCCUGAGAAGACAAGGGCUUAUUAAGAUGAGGAAGAAUCAGAAGAUUCUGAUGAGGAACAGACCAAUGUUGCAUUGAUGGUAACUACAACUGAUCCCGAAGGUUCUGAAGAACUAGAAGACAAAGUGUUGUCAGAGUCACAAUUAGACUCCAACUCUGAAGAGGUAUUUUCUAAACUAUCUCAUUCUGAUUUAGAGUCAUAUCUUUCUGAAAUGCUGGAAAAGUACCAAAUUCUUUAGAGUAGGUACAAAAACCUUAAACAAGUCCAAGUAGUUGCUUCUGAAAUCCGUAGUGAGCUUAAGAGUGAUACUUCUUCCCUAAACGAAAAAAUAUUUUUUUAGAAAGUAACAACUCUGCUUUGAAAAGAAAAUUUUCAAAACUAGAGGAAUAAAUAAUCUCAUAAGCUUAUGGUACUGAUUGCAUCAUCAGAUAUGACAUAUCAUUAUAGUGCUUUCUGGCUAAAAGCAUAAAUAUAAGCAAAAUAGAUUCCAAGAUCUAUGGAAUUAGAAUAAAUGGUAAGAAGUGUCUAGGUUGUACAAAAACUGGAAAACCUGACGAAAGUUAGAAGGUAAAACUGAAACCUAUCUAUGAGUAUUUCGUGCCUGCUGGCACUGAGCUUGACUGUUCUUCACAGACACAGAAACCUGCACAGACACGGAAGAAGAACUCAGUUCUGAAACUCAAGUAUCAUGCACAAAUUCCCUUUGAGUAUCCUACUGCAUAAAAACCCAAGGUUGUAAAAAAAUAUGGGAGAACUAACAAAAAAGGACCCAGAAAGUGGGUACCUAAGGAUAAGAUCAUUUAUGUUGUAGACAUUCUUAGUAGCUCAGUUGAGACACCACUCAUGGUAUUUGGACAGUUGAUACUCGCGACACAUGACAGGAAGAAGGCAUAUGUUCCAAGAUUUGGAACUUAAGCCUGGAGGCUUUGUUGGUUUCAGAGGAAACCAAACAGGGAAGAUCAUUGGCUCUGGAACUUUUGGUAAUGGUAAUCUCCCUUCUAUUACUAACGUUCUUUUGGUUGAUGGUUUGAUGCAUAAACUAUUGUCUAUCAGUCAGCUUAGUGACAAUGGUUAUGAUAUCACUUUUAAUCAAAAGUCAUGUAAGGCUAUUAGUCAGAAAGAUGACACGAUCAUUUUUAACGGAAAGAAGAAGAACAACAUUUAUAAAAUCAGACUUUCUGAUCUUGAGGAUUAAAACAUAAAAUGCUUAAUGUCUGUUAAUGAGGAGCAAUAUGUAUGACAUAGACGUUAGGACCAUAUUAGCAUGAGAAGGAUUUCUUAACUAAAUAAGCUUAGAUUAGUCAGACGAUUACCCAACCUGAAGUUUGCUUCAGAUGCUCUUUGUGAAGCAUGUCAGAAAGACAAGUUUUCUAAAACUUCUUUCAAAGCAAAAAUUGUUGUUUCUACCUCUAGACCGUUAGAGCUUCUGCACAUUGAUUUGUUUGGGCCAGUGAAAACUGUCUCUAUCAGUGGUAAGAAGUGUGGAUUGGUCCUCGUUGAUGACUAUAGUCGUUGGACAUGGGUAAAGUUCUUGAAACACAAGGAUGAGUCACAUUCAGUAUUCUCUACCUUCUGCUUACAAGUGCAAACAAAGAUGGAUUGCAAAAUAGUCAGAGUCGAAAGUGAUCAUGGUGACGAAUUUGGAAAUAAGAACUUUAAAAAUAUUUUUGAUACAAAUGGCAUUUCCCAUGAUUUACCAUGUCCUAGAAAUCCCCAGCAAAAUGGGGUUGUAGAAAGGAAGAAUAAGACUUUGCAAGAAAAGGCUCGCACCAUGAUCCAAGAAAUUGAUAUGGCUAAGCAUUUCUGGGCAGAGGUAGUUAACACAACAUGUUAUAUUCAGAACAUGAUUUCUAUUAUGGCUAAGCAUUUCUGGGCAGAGGUAGUUAACACAACAUGUUAUAUUCAUGCACAAAUUAUGGAAUAACAGAAAGCCCAACAUUUCUUAUUUCCAUCAUUUUGGAUGUGAUUGCUUUAUGUUGAACACUAAAGAGAAUCCUGGCACGUUUGAUUCUAAGACACAUAAGUGUUUAUUGUUAGGAUAUUCUGAACGCUUAAAAAGAUUGCAUAGUCUUUAACAUUGAGACACGAAUUGUCGAGGAAUCAAUUCAUGUUAGAUUCAAUGAUAAGCUUGACCCUGAAAAGUCAAAGUUAGUUGAGAAAUUUGCAGAUAUGAAGAUCAAUUUUUCAGAAUCCAAGGAUAAAGAUUCUAGAGAUAAAGACUCAGAAGGAAAAGCUAAGGACGUUGAAGCAAAAGACUCAUAAGUGCAUAAUUGAAGCAUACUGAACUACUAGAUUUUUUGGUUUAUGCAAAAAAAUUGGGUCUGGUAUCCUAGAUUUUUACAAAAAAAUGGUAUAUAAAAUUUUUUACCGGACUUUUGGAAAGCUCCGACAAAUAAUAACGGUAAAACUUUUACGAAUUCCGGAUUUUUCCUAAAAAAACCCAGUAAAACUUCAAAACGUAUACAGACUUUUACUAAAAAUUCAGAAAUAAUUCAAAAAUGUUUUCGGAUUUUUCCUAAAAAACGACAAAACUUCAACAGAUUCCAAAUAUUUGAAAAAAAAUCCGAUAAAAAUUCAAGAGAUUUCUGGAUUUUUUCCAAAAAUCUGAUUAAACUUCAUACUGAAUUUUUAAAUAUCCGAUAAAAAAACAUAAAAACAUUAUCUGAAAAAACUUUUCGCACUGGAUUUUUAGUCUCUUCCAAUUUUUACAUAAAGAAUUUUUUGCGGAAUAUAAAAAUUUGGAAGAUAAAUAAUAUGAAGGAUAAAAUUGUGAUUAUUAUAAAAUGUGGAGAUGUCGUGUCAAAAUGGGGUGCUAGGAAGAAACCUCUUAUUUUGAGUGUUUAUAUAACAUAAACAAACACAUUUAAAUGUUAUCUUGUGUGUUGGGCUCAUGUUGAAAGUUGGGGGCUUUGUAUUUUCAUUUCAAUAUUUUAAUUAAUUAACUAUUAAAAGAUCUUAAUUAAAUUAUUAAUUAUUAAUUUAUUUUUAAAAAAUAUUAAUUAAUUAAUUAUCAUAAUUAUUAAUUCCUAAUCAAUUUCAUGUUAUUAAAAAUAAAUUUUAUAUCUUAAUUAUUAAUGUCACCGGAUUUUAAAAUAAAUGGACUAAAAGUUAAAAAUAAUGAAACAAGGAGGACCAAAAUGCAUUUAAACAAAAAUGAUAAAUUUAAAAAAAUAGUUUUGAAGUCCGUAAAACAAGUGAGUUGAACAUAACGGAUUGAACUGAGUUGUUCAUAAAUUUAAAACGAGUCGAAUUUGAGUUUACAACAAGAUCGUGUCAAAUCUAGUCAAAUUUUGAGUUGAAUAAACUAUUAUCGAGUCGAGUCGAGUCGAGAUGAAGAGAGUACGACUCGAUGUUCAAAAUUACAACUCCUUCCACCAAUCGAUCUAAAAGGUCCUAAACUGAUUUGUCGUCCCACCACCAAUUAAAAAAAAAGAUUUUUCCACGCAUUUUUUAACACUCUACGAAAACAAGAAAAUUUCUCUUCUUCAGAAAAAACAUUCAAACACAUAUUUUUUCAAAGUAAUUUUCUAGGACAUGUGUUUAUUGCACAAGAGUCAACUUUCACCUCUUACAUUCAUAUUAUUCAUAUAAAAAAACACUCAAAAACUCAAAAACCACAUAAACUUGAUUUUACAUCCAAAUCAAAUCAGGAAUGGAAAAUGAACUCGUACAAUGAUGAACUCAUAAAAUAUGGGAAUAAGAAAUACAAUAUCUUGAAUCAAGAAUUUCUCUUCUAGCCUUAACUCUUGAAUAACAACACUUCACUUACCAUUUUUUCCAAAUUCAAACAAGAUGAACCACCAAAAUCAGUUGCUUCUUCUGCCAUUUUCUUCCACUCAAUUGCUUUUCUUUUCAUCUCCUUACCCUUUUCACCCUCUAACAACUCUACCACAACCUUCUCAACUUCAUCUCUUGUCACAUUCUCACUAUCCAUCACCAUUCCAAAUUUCCAUUCACUACAAAUAUACUUGCAAUUGGUAAAUUGAUCAUUGAAAUAUGGACAACAAAUCAAAGGCACACCAUUGCAUAUACUUUCAAUUGUUGAAUUCCAUCCACAAUGACUCAAAAAUCCUCCCACUGCUUUGUGCUUUAGAACCUUCUCUUGUGGACACCAACCUACCAUAAGUCCUCUAUCUUUUGUUUCUUCCAUAAUUUCUUGUGGCACAAGUAAUCUUUCACUUCCACCUUUAACUAUAUCAGGCCUAAUCACCCACAAGAAUUUCUUCUUGCUAUUUGAAAUUCCCCAAGCCAAUUCAACAAGUUGAUUAUACUUCAUAACUAUAACACUACCAAAAUUCACAUACAUAACGGAAUUUGGUUCUUGCGCGUCAAGCCAUUUGAGACACUCACUUUCUUCUUUCCACAAAUUACAUUUAAUAGAUUCAAACUCAUUGUUCUCUGAAAUUUUAUCAAGGAAUAACUCAAGAGGGCCUAUUGUGUAGAGUUUAGGAAACAUUGUAGAGAGUUCAUUCAGAACAUUAGAUUCUAAUGCAUCAAAAGUUGGUAGAAUAAUAGCAGAAGCUUUUGAAGCUGUUUCAAUUUGUUCAGCCACAAAGUUCAAAAGUGAAUCAUUUGGUUGUGUUGUACGAUAUAUACCAGGAAGGUCUCUUAAUGUAAUAUUCUUCAUGCCAGGGAUCCAGUCUAUGAUGGUGUCUAAAUGCCCAUUUGUCAGAUAACUUGCAUCUGAAAGUUUUCAUCAUAAAUUAAAAAAAAAAAAAAGACAUUACUAUUCAUAUGUGUUGAGAACUCAAAUUUAAAUUAUGACUAAACUCUAAAAAAAAUAAAAGUUGAAGAGGGUUAAGAUAAAAUAAAUAGAGUAAACAUUGUAAAGUUUUGUUGUAUCUACCUUGAAGUGGUGUUAUGCCUUUUUCCAUGAGAUUCCUGCAUUCUUUGAAUCCCAUGAAACCACAAGCACUAUGAGCCCAAAAGAGAACAUUAGGCAACCCAAAUUGUUGAGAAGCUUGAAUACUAAAAGACAUGAUACCAUCAGAGAUUAAGCAAGUAACUGGAGGAUCAUUGAGUUUUGAUAUAAGUUCACACAAUGCUACCAAACAGUGUUUACUUGUAGACUCACAAAGAUCCGGAAUGCUUUGAGUUGAAUCCAUGUUGUUUGUGGGAGGGAGACCAUCUGGUAUGGUCUCAAAUUUGAAAUCUGACAAACCAUUGAGAAGAUCAUCAGAGGCUUUUGAUUUGAGCAAACGUUUGUGGUUGAAUUCAGUGUUGAGGAAUGUUAUGUAGAAGCCUUUGCUGUGAAGGAUCUUUGCUAGUUUGAGAAAUGGAUUUAUGUGACCUUGUAUUGGAAAUGGAAUAAGAAGAGCAUGUGGCUUCAUGGUUUCACCUAGUAAACUCAUCUUGUUGCAUGAAUAAAAAGAUGAACAACCAACCGACAUUCAAAGAACAACAUGCAUGACAUGACAGGAAACAAAGACAUGAUAUAAAGUGGAAUACAUGUUCAUUGAAUCAUCAUCACGUGGUCAAUAGGAACAAGCCAAACCGAAAAUCAGCUAGGGAACAAAACAAUAUGGUGGAGGACCCCAAAUUAGGUACUUUAUUAGAUUCAAUAGAGAUAUUUGUCUGCAAGCGGGAUGAUCAUGGGCAUCAAAAGUUACAAGAAUUAAAAAAUCAAUUUCCAUUUGUUCAUAAUAAUUAGAUAAUAUAUAUUUAACAUGUAAACAUUAAAAACAAAAGAAGAACUAAUUUAGUGGUUAAAAAUCUUGUUAACUAAGCUUAAGUAUUAAGUUUGAAUCCUAUUGAUAGUAAGAAUUAAAAAAAAUUCAAUAUAUUUUACUCAAUGUGACCGACUUUUAAUUUAUAAUAAAUAAAUUAAUUAAAAAAUAUAUAUUUUAAAAAUUUCACAUAGAUUUUAAAAAAUAAAUAAAAAUAAAAAUAAAAAAUCCGUUGACUAAGAUUUAAAAAAGAUUAUGGGUUGAAAUAGUCAAUCAGAAGCUAAACACACAUAAUAUAGACAUUAGGGAUGUUGAGAAUGCAUCAAGUGUGAAUAAUAGUCUCACAUUUGUUGGAAUAGGGAGACUUGAACAUCUAUAAGUGAAAGAACUCACUCAUCUAUCACCUUAAGAUUUUAGGUGAAUAUGUGAUAUGUCUCUCAUAAAAGUAUUGCUCCAAAAAUGAAAAAGUCCCACAAUGUUCAAUGCUAUGCAAAAACUGAAACUCGCUAAUACUACAUAAGGGUGAUGUACAUUUAACCUUAUUUUUAAUUGAUAAUUGUUUUUACUAUACUUAUGUAUAUCUUAGGAAAAAUAAAAUGACUUCAUGACAUGUAGUGAAAGAUGUAGAUUUCGUAGUGAAAGAUGUGAAUAUUAUAAACUACCCUAGAAUUAUAUAUGAUAUUCCUCAUAAAUUAAUGAUAAAUAUGUUAUAGAUAUUAGGACUAUAACUGAAUUGAUUGUUGCUAUUAUGUUAAAUUUGAGUGUUGUUUUUCAUUGGUAGGGGGAAAUAUAAUUGAUUAUCACCUAUGUGUUUAAUAGAGUUUCCAAAUCAGACAAAUCUCUCUCCUAUAAAAUCCUAAAGAAAAGACAACAUAACUUGUCUUGUCUUUAAACUUGGGGUUAUCUAGCUUAUGACAUGAUCCUUGGUCCAAAAUGAGUUAAACUUGUCUUAUUUUCAACGAACGUUGCAUCUCUGUUGCGUUGUAGGGUUUUAUGUAUGUGUCAGAGUCAUGAUACAUCAUCAUAUAUUGUCGAUGGUUCUUCAUGAAGAUUAUGGUAUUUCAUCUUUAGUUGGAUUUCAUUGGGAAUUCCUUUUACCUUAUCGUUGUCUCUGAACUCGGGAACGAAUCUUUCUAGUUUCUCUUCACUAGGUAUUUCUCAUUUCUUCUCUAUUGUCAUCGACUCGAAAAAAUUCUAUUUCAUUGUCCCCUUCGACAAUGUAUUUGGGUGAGAAAGCCUCUAGUAAUAGAUUCGAUGAGAUUAUACCCCCAGUAAUAGAAGCAAUGAAUUGUCAUUUUACUCUUUGAACUUCUUUUUCAUUGUUGUUGCUACCCUUGUUCUUUUUGUGCUCCUAACGAUUUUGAUUAUCUUUUUAUGACAAUUUACAUUGACUGGGGGAUUAUUUCUUGCAUGGUGACUCACCUGUUAUUGGAGUCUCUUGGAGAACCAAUUCUCCUUUUACUGUCAUAUUUCAUUCCACCAUGUUCUGCAUGCCAAUCUAAUCUUUCUUUCUUAUUCAACUCUUUGAUGGUGUCUUUCAUAUGGAUGCAUUCAUUUGUGUUGUGUCUAUGGCUUUUGUGGAAGCGACAAAACCUUGACAUUUCUGUCCUAGCAAAGUCUUUGAUGUGAUGGGGGUAUCUUACCCUAACCUCUUUGAAUUCAUUAUUAAUACACUCUUGUAGAAUAUUUUCUCUUGAGGUGUUGAGACGGGUGUAAGAUGAGAAUUUUCUAGAAUUGAAAAUUUGCUAGAUUUCCCAAGCCUUUGUUUCUCUUUACAUCUUCAAACAAUAACUUUUAUUCAUAGUUAAUAUAUGGUUGGCCUAUAGUAAGAGGCCACUUAUGAACUUGAAGCCUUUUAACCCUAACUUCUCACGAAACAUGUGUUUGUCCUCAAUCUUUUCUCAAACUGAAGCAAACUUUUAAAAUUGGGUUGGGCUUGAACCGUACGUUGACUUUAUAUCGAGCUAACCAAGAACCUAUGAGAUUUUAAUAUCGGGUUGAUCUCAGACCUAAAUGGAGACUUGAUAAUAUAAUCCGCAAACUAAAGCUUUUAAUGAGUUUAGCUUCGAACCCAAAUAAAUAAUUCAUAAAUGGAUGAAUUGUUCAACCAAGGUAAAAAUUGUUAUUAUAAGUGACUGACACAUUUUUAUAGACUACUUAUAAUACAAUAUGUCAUGAUAUUGUGUUGAGACAUAUGGUCUAUAUGUGCUCAAAACAGGAGGCAAAUAUGUGGAACAAGAUGUGUUAAACGAGGGAAACGAUCUAGAAGGGGGGUUGAAUAGAUCGCCAAAUAAAAUUUUCUUAUUAAAGAUUCUAUUUUGAAAAAUAUUUUUCUAUGGCAAGCUGAAGCGAAUCCGGAUCGACUCUCGUCUAUCUAAACUAUUAUUGAUAGAAUCGGAUAUGCAUAUAAACCGUAGUAUAAAAUAUGCUAAAUAUGAUACAAGCAAACCAACAAGUUCAAUAUAAUUUGUUUGAAUAUAAAUCACACUAAGAUAAACGAUUUCCAAUUAGAUGUAAAAAUAAACCUUGAAUACAUAAUUUUAACGAACACUUAGUGUGCAGUCAAAAUAUCAAAGACUUGGUGUGCAAUACACCAAACUUAAUUCUCUUUGUGUUGAAGGUGUAACAAAUUAAUUACAAUUGUUUCACAAAAACAAUUUUAAAUACUUCAACACAACUAGAACUUUCAACUAUUCAAAUUACACACUAAGAGUUAUCAAAGUAUAAAACGAUAUAUAUAUAUAAAUAUAUAUAUAUAUAUAUAGAUAGAGAGAGAGAGAUUUGUUUAGCCAGUUCCUCAAUUGUCUUCGUUAUGGGUACGUCUAUCCUUAAUACGAAAUCAUAUCGAGAUAUCGUAGUUAACCUUUGUAAUAUCAAUUUACAAGAGAAGUAGUAGAAAUUCAAACUCUCAAACCCUAUGUUUGAUGUUGAUUCUAACUUAUUCUCUUCCCUUGAUCUUAGGAAGAUCAAAUCACACAAGACCUCCAAUUUCAUCCUCCGGUUAUCACUACUUCUUUGACCGAACCUCCGUUCUCCAAAGCUUUCACUCGGUUGAAUCCAAAUUGUGAAAUCUUGCCCCAAAUCUUUCAAUAGAUCGUUACAGCUACUCCUUUGCAAGAACCCUCGUUCCUCAAAACUUUCACUCGGCUGAAUCUAAAUUGUCACAUGGUCUGCAUACUAAGUAAGCACCGACUAGUCAACGGAUCCUCCAUGGAAUCUUCCGUCAAUGUGCACAAAGGGCUCAGUCGAAUGGGCUCUAACCUUUGUGUCAACAGUAACAUAUGGGACCGGAUCAACAACAACAGCAUCUGGGUGGACCCGCACAACAACCACCUCAUCAAUAACCACUCUAUCAACCUCUCCAGUUCCAGCAACCUCUUCAGCAGCCUCCCUACCAACAUCCCCAGCUCCAGCAACCUUUCCAGCAACCUCCCCACCAACAUCUCCAACUCCAACAAUCUCCUCAACAACCUCUCUAACAACAUCUCCAACAACAACCUCAGCUCCCACCUCCUCAGCCACCUUAUCUCUGGACUGCUCAACUGAUCAUACCUGGCGGCAUCGAGUGCUACGAGGUGCGCGGAACUCACCCUGCUCAACCAACAGUUUCCGGUGUGAAUUGGUUAGAACCACUCGUUUAGCCCAUAUCCGUGAAGACUCAAUCUCAGCAACCCUAUCGGAAAUUCAAAAUUUUAUAUUUAUCGGAAAUUUCAAAAUUUCCGGUAAAAAAUCAAGUGUUUAUAAGUAUCGGAAAUUCUGAAAUUUUCGAAAAAUUAAAUGAGAUUUUGUACCGGAAAAUUUAAAAUUUCCGAUAAGAUUGAAAGAAUUAGUAUCGGAGAUUCCGAUGCAAAAUCUAAGAAUUUUUUACUUUUACUAUAAAAAAUCAUUUUAUUUUUAAAAAAUUUCAAUAGUGUUUAGAAAUUUUCGGUAUCGUUUCAGAACUUUAAAAAAUUCGCUUGAAUACCAAAAUGUUAUUUUUUUUCAUACACAUUAGGGGGUUUAAUUGGGGUGCUAUUGAUUGUUUUGGAGAAUAAUCAUCUUUUCCUUCUUUUAAUUCCUGUUGUGGUUCUCUUUUUAUUUUUAUUUUUUAACAUUGGAGCCUUUUCUGCAGCAUUUCUUAUGCUGCUAGAUUGAGUUUUUAAUAAAACUUUCUUCGCCUUUCAAAAAAAAGAUAGAACUUCUUCCAAGGCUUUCCUUUUGUUGCUGCUCAAUUUUCUUCGAGACUUAUUCUUGUUAGCCUGGAUAGAAUUUUGGUUGUCAAUAUUACUCUCAUCAUUGUUAAAUCCAAAAUACGUGUAAAAAGAAGGCCUUGGUGGCUGCUUCGUCGACCUAAGGGUCAAGUCAAACCUGCUCAUUUUUAUUGACUAUGCUUUUUCUUUUUCUUUUUUUGUCUCAACUUUCAUAACACUUCUCUCAUCCAUGCCAUUUUAAAUACAUUUACAUUGCUCAUCAAUUAUUGUUUUUUGAUUGGAAAAAUAGAAUAACUUCAUAUUCCUAUAAGUACUUGCAAUUCAAAUUUAGUACAAUUCUUUUGGCUACUCUGAAAUAUUUUAUUCUAUUCUAUUCUACUGCGAAUAAUAACACCAACACUCCUUCGCUGGAAAAAUAGUAAAAAAAACAACACCCUAUCAUUUAAAGUGAAUUUGAGAGAUUCAAAUUCAUUUCAUUUCAACUAAUUGUAACUGAAACAGUGAGAAACUGAGAGGAUGGGUCACGAACACUCCAAAUUGUCGUCGUCGUCGGAAUCGGAGGGAAAAGGAUCGCGUCUUGAUCGAUUCAAACACCGUCUUCACUUCCGCCGCAAAACCGUUUCUGAUACUAGCGCUCAUUCCUCCACUCAAAAACUCCUCUCCGCCAACAAUUUCACCGGAAUCGCUCUCUUCGCCCUCCUCCGCGUAAUUCCCCUCACUCUCGCCGUUAAUUUUCAGUCUAUUAGAAUCACUGAUUGAUCACUGUUUUGUUUGUAAUGCAGGCGGAGAUGCAGUUCAAGGACAAAUGGAUCGCGUGCCUUUCACUUGGAGAACAAACUUUUCGUACCAAGUGUUCUCAAAAGUUAGUUAACAACACUUCAAUUCAUCAUCAUCACUUUAUUAUUAUUCCAAUUAUGUACUGUAUGAAUGUUUCUUUCAUUUUAGUUGUUGCUCUCAUUCUCGUGAAUUGAUUUUGUUUUUUUUCAUUAUUAUUGCUGGUGAUGCAGUACAGAUAAACCGGUUUGGAAUUCUGUGAGUACUCUUAUCUAAACUAUUGACAGUUUUUUAUAAUGAAAAUUUAUAGAUAUAUGGUCCCAAAAAGUAAUGCCUUAUUAUGAGAAAUGAUUCGUGGAUACAAAUGAUGACUUCGUACGCUGGAUUUUCGUAUAGUUGGAGUACGGUUUUCAAUUUUUAUACAUUGGCUCUACAAAAGUGUGUCCAAAUAGCAUUGCUUUUUGAUUAUUUAGUGUUAGUUAGGUAGUUGCAUUGAUAGUUUGGUUUGCUUAUUCAAAAUGUUGGUGUACUUUUCAAAUGUCUCAUUUUCUUUUUACUUCCAUAAAUAAUUGUUAAUUCAUGUGCAAUGGAAUUGUAACAUUUAAAAUCCACAUGGCACCUAACAUGUGUAUGUGAACAUAGAUUGCAUGUUCUAAUGCUACUAGGGGUAAUUAGAUCUUCUUUAUUUUCUUGUCUCUGUCAUAUAGGAGCGAAUGAUCUGCUGAAUAAGAUAGUGUUUCUUUUGUGUGACUGAUAUUUUCUUCUGCAGGAAAAGAAACUUUUAUUGGAACAGAACGGGCCUCAUAUUGCAAGAGUUUCUAUCUUUGAGGUGUGCUAUAAGAAUUAACAGCAUUACCUUUUCAUUGAUUAUAUGCAUUACCCUGUAGUAAGCAUAUGUUUUUCUUUCGGGGUGGGGGUUGUAAUUGGGAGGGGAGUGAGGACAUCACUUUUGUUAGCCUAAGAUAGAGAAGAUCAAGGAAAACAAUGAAUAAAAUGGAUGAGAACCACUCUGAGUUAAAUGAUACAUCUUUAGAUAUGAAUCGGGACUGAGCUUUAUAGCAUUGUUUGAUAAAUAUAAUUAACCGACUAUACCAAAUGAAAAUAGCUUUAAUUCCAGUUUAUUGCUUUAUAGCAUUGUUUUACAUCUAAUUUGUUUUUUUUUUUCUCAUGUAGACCAACAAACUGUCCAGCAAUACUCUUGUUGGAUACUUGGAGAUUGAUCUGCUUGAGUUUCUGACCAAGGUAAGGAAACUUUUUUUUUCUUCCUUUUUUAGAAAUUACGGAUGUUAGACUUGUUAAUUUAUCAGCUUCUUCUGUGUCCUUUCAGCAUUAUCAUUUUACACACUUUCAUUAUGAAUGAUAUGAUGGUGCAGGAUUCUGAUUCUGACAUUGAAAUAUUCAACGUUUUAGAUCCAUCGGUCCCUGGAAAAGUGGUUGGUAAUAUCUCCAUUUCAUGCUCUGUUGAGGUAUGUGGUAUACUAAUACAAUACAAUUUUUGUUGUUGUUAAGGUAAGAUAAAAUUUUCUAACAAUUAUAAGUGAAAAUUAACAGGAUCCAAUUGAAACAGAAAAAGGCUUUGUUAGACGCAUUUUAUCCAUCGUGGUAAGUUUCAUCUUCCUCUACUUUCUGAUAACUCGUGUUUGUUGUGAGCUUAAACCUAAGAUUUAUGAGGGUAGCACAAGAAGUGGUGAUAUAUCGUCUCAUCCCUCUGUAUUAGGAUAUUGGUGUUAAACCAAAAUUGCACCAUGGAUUGUUGCUUAGACUGUUUUGAUAUUGACACAUAUUUGCGAUAUGUUAUGGAAAUUGCUACCAUCGGUAAAUAUUAAUAGAUAACAAUGUCAAUUUAUUCAUGAUGUUCCCUUUCUCUAUUGGAGGGUCUUCGAGCUUGAAAAGAAGUCUAUAUAAGUUGAAUGCAUAGAAGACCAUUUGAAAUCCUUGAUCUUAUUCAGCACCAUUUAAUAUCAACUAGAUAAUUUAUGCUUUAUGCAGGACUACAAUGAAGAUGGGAUGCUUUCGUUUUCUGAAUUUUCUGACCUGAUUGAUGCUUUUGGCAAUCAAUUAGCAACCAGCAAGGUUCAAACUAUUUUACACAUUAUACAAUACUGUUACUUUUUUGUUUUUGGAUUGUUUUCUUGCUAAAUUAUCAUCAGUGUUCUUCUGUACCUGGAUAUGGAUUUGGACUUUGAUAUUUAAAAAUUUAUCUAUUAAUUUCAGUUAUUAUGGCCUAUAUAAACUAAUAAAAUCUGAAUGCAAGAAUUUAGAACCUCAAAUUUGAACAAUGGAAACUAGCUAUUUUGGUCAUAUUAUCAAAGUCCAAAUCUUCACUACAAAAGGUCCGGGGCUUAAAGUUCAAAUAAUGAAUCUUUGCCUUAUAAAUCAUAAAAUGAUUUUACAAUAUAAUAUCUAGUUUUGUAUAUACAAAUUAUACUGCUUCAGCAAUACAAUUCUUUUUCAAUAGAAAGAGGAGCUGUUCAAAGCAGCUGACAAGAAUGGAGAUGAUGCUGUGAGCAUGGAUGAACUGGCUUCUCUUCUUGCUUUUCAACAAGAAAAGUAAAUGAUCCAUCUAAAAUACAAGAGACUAAAAGCUUUGGUUUUGUAUGCAUGUUGUUGCCUUUUGCUAGCAGUAGAGAUAUUACUGCUUAUUAUAAAUUUUCCAAGUCAUGUUUGUUUACAUUUUUUAUUCUUAUAUGGUUAUGUAACUUCUGGUGUAGCAGGGAGCCACUGUUGAAUUGCUGCCCUGUUUGUGGUGAGGUUCUUCAGAUUUCUGAUCCGUUGAACAGCAUGAUCCACUUAACUCUUUGUUUCGACGAAGGGACGGGAAACCAGGUGAUGGCUGGAGGAUUCUUGACAGAUAAGCAAGCUUCAUAUGGGUACAAUAUUUGCAAGUUGCUACUCAUUUAAGCCUUAAAAGACUGGAGAACAUGAUCUUUUUUUACCUAAUGGGUUAUACAACAGUAUUUUAGUGGCAUAUACUGCGGUUAUGUAUUUAUGGUUUUAAUAUCAUGAGAUAAUAAAGAUCAAAUGUUUACUUUUUGGUUUAUAUAGCUGGUUCUUCAAGUUGAGUGAAUGGGCCCAUUUCUCAUCCUAUGAUGUCGGUAUUCGAUCUGGAUCAAGUUCUUCCCAUAUUCUGGUAUACCAUAUUUCUUUCCAUACCAAUUUCCUCUUUCUUUAUUUUAUUUAAAAAUCUUAAGAUAUUCAUAUCAUGCAUCAUACGUGAAUGUAUGUUUCAAGUUAUAUCAGGAUGAUCAGAACCUCUCUGAAAUUCCUUCUAUCCAACACUGAUAACUGAGUUUACGAAUAUUCACCAUAAUUAAAAGAAGGCUACCAAGAACAUAAAUCAAUCAUGGCGCGCCACCCUUUUCAUGUGGAUUAUAAGUAUCAACAUUUCUUGUGCUUACCUUUUUUAAAGUUUCGAGAAUUCAAAUUGUAUUGGUUUAACAACUUCAUCAAAGUAAAGAACUAGAAAUAUCCUUAAAGAUAAUUUGAGGAAAUUAGAAAUGCCAGACUAAAUACUGAUAUUUUUAUUCCAUAUUUGUAUCUCUGCACCUUUCAACGUGUUAUUUAUUUACUUCAUCUUACUUUUGGUUCAGGUGUAUGAUCGGAAGUCUCAGAGGCUUGUCGAAGAAUUAAUUGACAAAAAGAUUGUUUUGUCAAUGAGGGCUAUUUAUCAGUCAAAAAUAGGUCUUGGUCUAAUGGACAUAGGUAUGUGGAUUUUUUAUUUCUUUCUCCUAAUAGUUGAAAGAAAUUGUAGGCUAAAUGCAUAUGUAACUUCACAAGUCACUGCUCUUUGUCAUGGCCCUUGUGCUACAGUCCUGCUGAUGUGUUGUUACAAAAAAAAAAUCUGGUUGAAACAUGCUGUGCAGAUAUUAGAUCUUGCUGACAUUUCUUACCCGAUUUUGUGUUUUUUAGUAGAUUACUAACUAUAACGAAAUAUAUCAGUUUUAAAAAAUGAUUUAUCAUAUUUCAUCCUUCUGUUACAUGGGAUUUGACGUCAAUAUGAGAUUCAGAUUGAAUUUGAAUAAACUUUUCCAUCGGUGUUGAGUUAGUCAUUUGCCUUACUUUGGCGAACCUUUGGUAUGCAGGGGUGAAGGAGCUGCUGCAAAGCAUUUCUGAAAAGCAGGGAGCAAAAAUGGAUUCACUUGAAUCGGCUGCUGAUAUACCGAAAUUUAUUGAAUCUUAUAAGGUAUGAUGAUGUUUAUUUUAGUUCUUUGUGGGUAGCAUAAUUUGAUUUUGACAAGUUGCAGAACAAUGCAAUUCUUGGGUAUGUUAUAUGUGGUGCCCCUUGUUUCUGUGCUGUCGUUUCUUUUGGAGUUUUGCUUGUCAUGUGCAUUUUAGCCAUCUCAUCUAAUAAUAUAUCCUUCUUCCUUUUUAAAUACAAAAUACACAGUCUAUGUGUACUUAAUGGACAUCCUUAGCAACUGCUUUGUUUCACUUUCACAAAUGGGCUAUCUUUUCUUUUACAAUUGCUUUAUGUAUUUUAAAAUUAAAGGAUAUUGCUUUCAUUCAACAUUCAGCAUUCUCAAGUUAAGAACAGCAAGUAUUACUGUCCCUCAACCACAAGACAAUGUCCAUGCCGACAUCUAUUACUAGCAAACUGGAAGAGUCACUCUUACCAUAACCAUUAUAUGAAGUGUUAGAGGACAAGCAUCUAAUGGCAUUGUACAGCACAAUUCAGAGUAGUCAAUAGCGGCGCUAUCCCGCUAUAACAGAGCGCAGUGGAGGCCGGCCGCUAUGGGAAGAGCCAUAGUGGGGCAGAACACUAUAGCGGCCACUAUAGAGUAAAUAGCGGGAUAGCGGAGCAGAGCAGUUCCUAGCCCGCUAUCCUUUCCCCCCCUAAAAAACUGAAAUUACUCCUUAAAUUUACAACGUUUUAAGGAUAAGUUUGGGUUUUUCAAUCAAAUUUGAGUUGAGACUCAACCUUAACCUUCCUUGUUUAUGCACUUCAAGAGUCAUGUGUGCUUUGAUUUAUGAACAUUUUAUGAGUUGAGUUAUUUGCUUAAUUUUACAUUAAAUAUAUAUUUAUAAUUAUUAUACGUAAUUUGUCCAAAAAAUGAUCAAAUAGAUCGGUCAUCCCAUUAAACGCCACAAUUGACAAUACGAUAUGAAAUGAAAAUCAUAUACAUUGCAAUAUAUAUGUGUGCGUACAACAACUAUUAAAAAAUUGCACUAUAUUGUGGUGUGAGUGUGUGUGCUGGCGCCCGUGUCUGUUGAAACAGUUUUAACGCAUAAUAGGAUGCUAUUUUUUUUCUUCCAUUCUUCACCUAGCUCUUUAUGUGCUGGACUUGGCAGCCUAUAAUCACAUCCAUCUUAUAAAGUGAAUAUUGUCUUGUAGGGUCAAAUCAAUUUGGCUGAAGUCAAGUAUCCACUGGAACACUUUAAGGUGGGCUAAAACUGCAGUUUGAAUUUUUAUGUUAUUGAUGCACAAUUGCUUCUGAACACACUUUUUUAUCCUAUUAGUUAUUUAAGAUGGUUUGCUGGUUCGAUUUGAUCAUGCUUAAAAAUUAAAAUAAUGUUGUAUCAUAUGCAUAUGGUCUUAUGAAUUAAUUUAGUAAUGGUCUCAUGAUUUAACUUAGUAAAUAUUAUUUCAUGUGAAAUAUUUUCAGAAAAACAUCAACUCCGCUCCUGUGUUUCUUAGCUAGGCGAUGCUUAUGUAACAACAUAUUUCAUUUAGUCGCUGUCUAUGCUUGAAAAAUAAUCUGUUAUCUUCAUUCUUCAUUCUAGUUAAAUAAAAACGUUCUUCUUACUAACAACUUUCAUUCCGGCUACAGUAUGUUUUUAUUUACUAUUAUAUUCUACUUCAGUUGUUUUUUUUAUUUCGCCUUUUAGCCAUUUUCAAUGUGUUUUUGUGGGACCCUCAAAUUCUCCUGCUUUACUCACUGAUCUCUACGAAGAACUAAGAAUUUGUUUUUUAUUGAGCUUGCUACAUAUAUUUUGUUUGAACAAGAAGUUGGAAUGAAAAUGAACAAAAUCUAACCAAUGAUCAUACUGAAACUCAUCUAUACUUCAUUAUGGUAGUAUUAUCUUGUUUAUGACACCUAUCUUGAAUAACUCUCCGGGCAGACAUUCAAUGAAUUUUUCAUUAGAGAGUUAAAGCCUGGUUCAAGACCAAUUGCUUCUGCUGAACAUGACAACACUGCUGUAUGUGCGGCCGAUUGUCGUCUAAUGGCAUUUAAAUCAGUUGAUGAUAGUACAAGAUUUUGGAUUAAGGUAUUUCUUUUACAUCUCUUGCAUGUGGAAGGUUUCUUGUCUCACGAAUUCAUUUUCCUUUUUAAUAUUUAGAUAAAUGUGUGUCAUUUGAGAAUAUGCACUAAAGAGUAAGACAUAUUUAUCAGUCAGAACUAAAAGUUGGCAAUGAGUGUUUUUCUAUUCUGUUAGAAUUUAGCAAAAAAAUAAGUAAUAAAUGCGAUAAAAUUAUGAUUUUUUUCAUUCAAUUUGAACCUGCAUGACUUGCCUGUAAGUUAAGACAGAGGUGUGGAGUAGGGAUUGGUUUUUGCUUUUAUGGGAUUAUAAUCCGGUUCAUUUUUCCUUAAAUGAAACGAUUUAGUUGCUUGAACAACUUUUAAUGAUAAAAAUACCCAACUGUUUUAUGUGAUGUGAGUGUGACUAGUAUGAAGCACUAGUACUUCUGAAAUAGUGAGCUACUCUUACCGGGUACAUAUCCAGUAGUAGUAGUGAUGCUUCCUUUUUUUCUAAUUAUUUGGUUUCGAAUGAAAUUUAGGUUUUCUCAUAUAUUAAUAUUGUAUUAUUUAAGUAUUUUAGUUUCUUUGUUAUUGUAACUUGAUACAAUUUUUUACUUUUUAAAUUUUUAUUGUGAUGUUUUGUUGUGAAUUGAAAAAUUUAGUUCUCUCAUGUUACAAUACAUAAAAAAACUAUUGUUUUUUAUUGAUGUAUUCAUAUGUUUUUCAUAAAUGAUGCAUCUCGUACCGUACAAACUAUGUUAUCAUAUAUAUUGGGAUAUCUCCUUUCUCUUUAUUAUUAAAUCUUUUAUAUUCAUUUAUGUACUCAAAAUGAAAUUCUUUUGGAAUUGCUAUUUGUUGCUUUCAGGGUCGAAAGUUUUCAGUUCAAGGCCUUCUGGGGAAAGAAUUGUGUUCCAGUGCUUUUGUUGAUGGAACACUUGUGAUUUUCCGUCUGGCACCACAGGUGUUUGUUGCUUUCUUUCAUUGCCACUUUAAUUUUGUGUUCUUUUGAUUGCAAAUUUUGAUUUGAAUGUUUAUUUAUUGCAGGAUUAUCACCGUUUCCAUUCGCCAGUGUCAGGAAUUGUUGAGCAGUUUGUUAAUAUCCCUGGAUGCCUGUUUACCGUAUGUGAAUUAAUAACUGGGAAAAUGAUAUUUUAUUUACAGUGUCUAUUUUCUGUCAUUGUGUGUUAACUAUACUUGCAACUUUUUCUGAUUUGUUCUAUUUCUCUUAGGUCAAUCCCAUUGCUGUAAAUAGCAAGUACUGUAAUGUCUUCACAGAGAAUAAGCGAGUUGUUUCAAUAAUUGAAACAGUAGAUUUUGGAAAGGUUUGUGAUUGCAAUUAAUUUGCUUUUAAUGCGAGUUUAUAAUGCUAUCCUACUGAAAUUGUUUUUUACAGAACACCCUAUAAGUUACCUAUGAUUUGUGUUCAGGUGGCAUUUGUUGCAAUAGGAGCUACAAUGGUUGGUAGCAUUACUUUCACAAAGACACAUGGCGACUAUGUCAAGAAAGGAGACGAGGUUUGGAAUCCGGCCAAUUACAGUAAAUUACUGUUUUUCCAAUUUUCUUCAUUGUGUUCUGGUUUCUAAUUGGCAUAUGUCUGCUUUAAUUGACAGUUUGGACAUUUCUCUUUUGGUGGAAGCACUGUAAUUUGUGUUUUUGAAAAGGUUGGUAUUAUAAUCGUUUUACUGCCCAUCUUUUAUCUUUCGGUUAAUUAUUUCUUGUCGUUUCAUGUUUGAAAUCUAUUUAGUGACUCUUAUUUUCCCUCUUACUUUUGUUGCUGUGCUAUUCAGGAUUCAAUUGCAAUUGAUGAAGACCUUCUAUCAAAUAGCGCCAGAUCACUGGAGACUUUGGUUACUAUGGGGAUGAGAUUGGGUGUCUCCACGAGGAAUCUGUCUUAACAACUGAGGUCGUGUGGACUAACUUAGAAAAAUUGUUAAUAUUUUGUGAUGUGUAAUUCUGUAUUUUUAAUUUAUUUUGAAUCAUGACAGCGUCGGUUAUUGAUGGCGGAUAUGCCCCAUUAUCUUUAAACUUUUUUAAUCUCAUUCGAUGAUAUCAGAAUGAAUGGAAAAAUCUGGAAAAGUUGUGGUAAUUACACACUCUAAAAACAUAUAAAGUGAAAAUUGGAGACGAGGACAAUCCUCACAAAAAUAUUCCUUUUACAUUGUCUAACCCUCCACUAAAGCAGAUUAAGACUAGUAAGGAUGCAAAUUAAGUAGACAUGAAGAUUGUAAUAAAAAAUCUCACCUAGGAGACCUUUCUUUUCCAAAUCAAAAACAGGUUUCCAUCAACUGCUAAUAAAUGGAUUGGGUACAGAAGAAGAUGCUAGACUCUACAGUGUUUGGAUACGAGCCGUAUGGUUCGACCAUUCAAACAUCUAUCAUCCGCUUAAAAGUUUUUAACUUGAUUCAUCUUGAACCUAUUCAUAAUCAAAUCCUAAGUGAUUCAUUUUCAUAGUAAAUCGGACGAAAAAUGAAUGACUGAGUGUAUACCUCUUUCUUCCCUGAAUACUUGGAUACAAUCCAUAUAACUCGACCAUUCGAGUAUUUGUCUUCCAUUCAAAAAAUCCUAAUUAUAUCUAACCCUUUUCACAAUUAAUUGGUUGAAAAAGGAAACACUAUGGCGUAUACCACUCUUUUCGGAUACGAGUUGUAUAGCUUGACCAUCCGAGCGUUCGUCGUCCAUUCAAAGACAAAUUCCAAUCAAUCAAAUUAUUUUUUCUCACCACCGAGUGAUCGUAAACCCUUUUCAUAAACGAACAUUGUUUAUCCCAUUCUAACACGACACAAACAAACGCUUAAAGCCUCUAAUUGUGAGCAUACAAGCAACAUUUAACCAGUAGAACGAGACCUAAAUAUUUGUUCACUAAAAUCAACCAACAAAUAUGUGGUUUUCUAUAAAGAACUACAUAACUUUGAAUUCCUCACCGCACAUGAGGAUACAUAGGAGUAAGACCCAGAACUUUAUCAAGCACCCUGAUAAAAAUCUUUUUUGCGACAUUUUCCUUUUCUUGUUAAACUUUCAAUAAUUAGAAGAAAACAAAUAUCAUUAAGCCAAUGUUCUAUUCACAAAUCUAAAUAAAUGGUUCUCGUUGAGUACAACGGAUGUGAGGGGUGCUAAUACCUUAUCCUCGGAUACUCGACUCCCGAACUCGAAUUUGGUUGCGACCACCAUUUUCUUUUUCUUUUAAGGGUUUUAUCGAUAUUUUCAUUUUUCUUUUGGAAUAAAUAAAGUUCGAUGGCAACUAUGUUACCAUCUCGAGCGUGCGAGCGCUCCAUAUUAUUUUUCGAGCCACGACACUCUAUGUGCUAGCUUCAAGACAUAUAAUGCCUUGUUCAAUCUACACGUCAUGUGUUUCAUGACUUUCUUUUCAAAAUCAGGUGGUUGGGAUAUAUAAACUUCUUCUUCAAAUGUCCCUGAUAAGAGUUUUGAUUUAGCAUCCAAUUGAACAACGGACAAACUUUCUUGUUUGAUAUGACAAUUAACAAUCUUAUUGUUGUUAGAAGUAGUAAUUCGAUAUUAUGUCGAAAGCUAGCAUACGACUAUGUCAAAGUAGCUAGUCGAGGUGUAUGAGUCAGCUGUAUUCGACUGAGUUAAAUAUAACAUAUAGUUGUUAUGUCAAAAUGUAAGUUGUAGUUUUGUACUUUGCAUUGUGUAUGUUUUGGGCUUGGGUCAAUUUGUAUAGUUUUGGGUAUGGACUUUAGUUGUCUAUAUAGAGACAUUGUAUUAAUGUACAACCUAACAACUUCAUUCAAUAAUAUUAUCUCUUUUACAAUUUAGUUUUUAUCUCUUUUCUCUCAUCUUUGUUGGAAACCCUUUUGUUUCAAAAAAUUGGUAUAAAGGAGUUUGGGUUGAGAUUCUGAGAGAAUUUGUAAUGGCAAAUAGAACAACAACAUCAACGAAAUUUCCAGCGAAUCUACUAGUUUUAAAAGGGGGGAACUACGAAUGGUGGGUUGCGCAGAUGAAAGUCAUCUUCAGAUUUCAAGAUGUGGUUGAAAUUGUGAACGUUGGAGUACGUGCAUUGGAAGAGAAUGUAAACGAUGUUCAGAAAGUUUCAAAAGGAAGGAAGAAAGAAAGAUGGAAAAGUUAUGUUCUUGAUUCACCAGUGUGUGGAUCCUAAUGUGUUCGAGAAGACAACUAAAGAAGAAACGACCAAAGGAGUGUGGGACAAGUUGAAGAGCUUGUACGACGGAGAUGAAAAGCUAAAAAGGGUGAAGUUGCGGACGUUGAGAAAGAAAUUUGAGAUGUCUCGGAUGAAGGAAGAUGAACAAGUCUCUAAAUACUUUUCAUGUGUGGUACUGUUAACAAAUCAGAUGAAAUUGUGUGGUGAAUCAAUCAACGAUUUGCAAAAGAUUGAGAAAGUGUUGAAAUCGCUGACUGCAAAUUUUGAUUAUAUUGUAGUGUCAAUUGAAGAAUCAAAGAACCUAAUUGAGAUCAAGUUAGAAGAACUUCAAGCUUCAUUAGAGGCUCAUGAGAUGAGGCUGAAAUAGAGAAACUCGAAAAGGGAGAAGGUGGUUGAACAGUCACUACAAGCAAGAUUCAUAAAAAAAUAUGGGAAAGAGAAGGCGAAGUAUGGAAAGAAUUUUGCUAAUGAUGAGAAGUCAAGCAAGAAUUCAAAGAAUUUUUCCAAUUCGAUUAAAAAGACUGAGCAACAAGUAUUAAGGGAAGACAAUUGACAUGAAAGAGGUGCAAUGUUACAACUGUCAAGGAUUUGACCACUAUGCUCGAGACAGUCGAAGAAAGAAGGGAGCACAAACAAAAGAUAGCAAUGAAAUACAGUAUGCACAUGCUAAAGAUAGUGAUUUAGAGGAUGUGUUACUCAUGACCAACACUCAAUCGAACACUGAGUAAACUAACAUGUGGUACAUGGAUUCAGGAUGCAAUAACCAUAUGACUGGUAAUAAAAACUGGUUCACCAAGCUAGAUGAAUCAAUUGAGAAAGUGAUACAGUUUGCAGAUGGAAAGCACAACACAUAUGGUGGAAAAUGAGGUAUAUAUGUUGUCAUAAAGGAUGGUCGAAAAUUCAACGUCAUUGAUGUGUUAUAUCUACCUUUUAUGACAAGUAACUUGAUAAGUGUAUGUCAAUUAUUUGCCAAAGAAUAUAAUAUGAAGCUAGAAAAGAAUCAGUUGAAGGUGUAACAUAGUGAUAGAAGGGUGAUUCUGAAGGCAUCAUUGGCAAACAACAUGACCUUCAAAGUAGAGAUCAACACGGUUGAUCAUAAAUGUCUAUCUUCGACUGCAGAAGAAGACAAUAAAUGGCUAUGACAUCACAGGUAUGGACAUUUAAACUUUAGAAGUUUAGGUAUGCUCAACCAGAAAAAGAUGGUGUAUGGUCUACCUCUGAUGAAGGAACCAAGUCAACUAUGUGAGGAAUAUUGCAAAGAAAAAUAGGCUAUGAAAACAUUCAAACAUGACUUGCCUAUAUGGUCGAAGAAAAAACUAGAAUUAGUUCACUUUAAUGUGUGUGGACCUUUUGAAGUAAGGUCGAAUGGAGGUAACUAUUAUUUCCUAACCUUCAUAGAUGAAUUCACUAGAUAUAUGUGGAUUUACCUUAUUGAAAGGAAGAGUGGGGUAUUAAUACAGUUCAAGAAGUUCAAAUUGCAUGUCGAUAGGCAAAGUAGAUGCAAGUUGAAGAAACUGAGAAUUGAUGGUGGUGGUGAAUACACCUCUCCAAGAUUUGCUAGAUUUUGCAAAGAUGAAGGUAUAAAGCAUGAGGUCAUUAAAGCCUAUACACCUCAGGAUAAUGGCAUAGUUGAGAGGAAGAAUCAAAGUAUAUUAAACAUGACCAGGAGCAUGUUGAAAGCUACAGAUAUGCAAAAGAGAUUUUAGGGUGAAAAAGCUUCGACGAUAGUGUACAUUCAAAAUAGAUGUCCAACCAAGAAGAUGAUCGAGAUGACUUCUUAUGAGGCUUGGACAAGUGUGCAGUUGAAUGUUAGUCAUCUUAAAGUAUCUGGAUCAAUGUGCUCCAGGCAUGUACCUGAACAAUUGAGGAAGAAACUAGAUGAUUGAAGUCAGGCUAUGGUGCUCACAUGUUAUCAUUUGAAUGGUGCAUACAAGUUGUAUUCACCAAAUGAAGAUAAAAUUGUGAUCAACCGAGAUGUUUUAGUGGAUGAAAGCAAAGGGUGUAAUUAGAGUCAAAUGUCAAUUUGAAGGGAGCGCGAAAUAAUCAUAAUUGUGCUUGAUGAAGACCAGAAAACUAAAGUCCCGACCGAUCGAAAUGAAGAACCACCUGAGCAAAAUGUUAGAAGAAUAACUAGAGCAAGAACUGAGUCGACAGGGAUAUCUGGAUAUGAGAUAUUUCCAAAUCAAAUUGUGGAUGCAGAUGGUGACAAGAAGUGGUGAUGAUGGUUGAAGCAGAACCAAUCAAUUUGGAUCAGGCCAUGCAUGAUUUGAAUUGGUUAGCAACCAUGGAAUAAGAACUUAGGGAAAUCAAGAAGAACAAGACCUGGGAGCUUGUCGAAGAGUCAAGAAAGAAGCAAUUAAUGUGAAGUGGGUUUACAAGCUGGGACAAAGGUUGAACGGUGAAAUUGGCAAGCAUGAAGCAAGAUUAGUGGUGAGAGGUUUUCUACAAAAACCUGGUAUUGAUUUCGAUGAAGUCUAUGCACCUUUUGCAAGGUUGGAGACAAUUGUUGUGCCGACAACAACAUACAGAGGAUGGAAUAUAUAUCAGUUGGAUGUAAAAUCAACAUUUUUAAAUGGACCUCUGAAAGAAGAAGUCUAUGUCAGUCAACCACCAGGAUCCUAAAUCAAAGGGUAGGAGUCAAAGGUAUAUAGAUUUAGGAAAGCUCUUUAUAGAUUUAAGAGAAUAGAUAGCUUCCUGGUCGAAGCAGGUUUCACAAAGUGUGUAUGUGAACAUGGAGUGUAUAUCAAUGAUGCAGACAGGGUCAGUCAAAUCAUUGUAUGCCUGUAUGUAGAUGACUCAUUGAUUACAGGUGCAAAUGAAGCAAAGAUAAGAAAAGUCAAGUCGAAGUUGAUGUAAGAGUUUGAAGUGUCCGGACUAGGGAAUCUGUCAUAUUUCUUAGGGAGAAGUUCAAAGUCGCAGGUGAAUGAGUGUUCUUGCGCCAAAAGAAUUAUGCCCAAGAUAUCUUGAAGAGGUUCAAGAUGAGUAAUUGUUGUCAUACCCCAAAAUUUGUAUACCCUUUUUCACUUUUCAUCUGGGUUUUGGUCUAGGGUUCAUCUGCAUACUCCUAGUCAUCUAGGUCACUCAUAAUUGUAUUUUUUUAUAAUAAAUACCAUUGAUUCAAAGGUCCUUGUUAUUUAUGUCUAACACUGAGUUAGGGUUUCUCUAGGGAUCCAAUCUAUGGAAUCUUAGUGAUACAAUUGACUUGGGAUAUGCAUCUCCUGGACCAGAGUCUUGUGGAACCCUAAGUCUUGUAUUAUGGUCUUUGGUUACUAUAGAUUGCGUCAUGACAUUGAUAUUUGGAAGCUAUUCUCAGGUUUGAUUUUGGUCAAGCAAAGGUCAACUUUAGGGUUACCUUUUUGUUGACGAUUCUUUAUGAAAGUCAUACAUGGCUAGUUUGUUUGAUUGUUCAUUUUAUUCAAGGCUUUUCAAGUCAAAUAAAUCAAAAUGGAUUCAUUCAAAUUCAAGGUUCAUUCAAGAUUAAAUUCGGAUUCAUCUUUGGAAGGAAACCUCUUUCUUAAAGCACAAGUUACAUAAAUCUAUUCAAAAGGCCAUUUCCAUAAGAAAUCCAAAAUAAAAAAUCACAUGUUUUGACCUAGGGUUGACUUUUUGGUCAAAUAGUUGACCAAAGUCAACUACCUAAACCUAAGACAUAAUUCCACUUAUUCUUCAUUCACAAAGCCUCCAAGUCUUCAAAGCCCUCAAAUUCUUCACAAUUUUUGAUAUGACUCACACCUUGAAUCCAUGCCAUGCCUUGAUCAAGCCUUGCCACCACCGUGCCAAGUCACCCUAGUUACCUGCAACAAGCAAAACAUAAACAUGAUGCCACAAUUCAAUAAGUCAUGCCAUGCAUAUUGUCGCCAUUCAAAUCAUAACACAAACCAUAUAAAAGCCAAGAAACAAGUCAAUCCAAUUACCAUAUGACUCAAUCACCAAUAACAUAACUAAUUCAUACAUUUCACCAUGCAACCUACUGCAUUUCCAAGUUCACUAAUUUGACAUUCCAUGUCCUCCAAACAUGCUAUAACAGGCCAUUAACUUCUCCAUUUUCACUAACCAUCAUUAACAUACCAAGCUAAUAUGACUAAAACCUCAUAACAGACUUCUUUUCCAAAAUUGUUAUGACUUUUCUAACAUAUCUCAAUCCAACUAAUUCAGUCAUAAUAUUACCUACUAUACAAAUUGCCAAUUUCAAAUCACUGACACUUGAUUAACUUCUUCACUAGCAGUUCCAAUUAACUCCACUAAUCAACUUAAGUAACUACACUAACUAAUUUUAACAUUAGUUCAACUUCAAUUCAAUAACAUUUCAUCUUAACAUUUACUAAGAGUCAACUAAACAUCAACUACAGUUCCAAUACACUAAUCAAAUCAUUUCAUUAACAAUAGUUCUAAUAAUUCCAACAGCUAACUCUCAUUUCACUAAUGUCUAAAUCCAAAAUAAUUCAUAGUUCACCAAAUAGUUGCAAGGCAGUUCAUUGACACAUUUCAAUAGGACACUUUUAAAUAAAAGAAAAAUAAGCUAACACUAACCAAUUACUCCAUUCACUAACAUUUUCCAAUUCAAUUCCAUAACCGUAAGAACUAGAUAUGCUAACAGUCCAGUUUCAUUGAAAUGCAAAUGUCACGAAAUUCUAACUUCAUAACCGACCUCCAAUUCAAACAAAUAACACUUCCAAUAGUGAAACUAACAUAGUUACAAACUCAUAAUUCACUAACUUUCUUCUUAACUUCCAACUAACUCUAACUGUCAACAUUACUCAUAACUAACUAUAGCUUCAACAUUCUAACAAUUCAACUAACACUUCAAUUCCAACUAUCAUUAACAUAAGGUUAAUAGAGUCAGAAUUCCUAACAAACUUUCCUCUUGAUAUUACCUAACGAUAACAGUGCCCUAACCCUCUAACAACCAUUGCCUCAAGCCUGCCGGAAAUUGUUACACCAUCUCUCUCUCUAUCUAUCUAUUUAUCUAUUUAUCUAUCUAUCUAUGAAUUGAAAAUAAGUGGAACCAAUAUAGGUGAUGGAUAAACCUUGGCCAUUUCCAAGCAUUACUUGAUCUGAGCCAAAAGUUGAGAUGCUGUCUAAGAAGUUCUCCGCAUUGUUUGUGACAUGGUGUGUGGCACCAGAAUCACAAUACCAUUUAUAAGAAGUGAUAAGGUUGUCGGUGGACUCGAUGCCAACAAGAUAAACUUGAGGUUGCUUUUGUGAGAAUAAGGAACAUGUAGGGGGUAUCAAGCCUAGUAUGGAAUCCAGUGGGAAGAACACGACAAGUCAGGAUUUAUGAGGCGACAAUGUAACUUGAGAAUGUAGAUCAUGCCUUCGACUUACUGCUUCAAGGACAUGAAGUAGAAUCUUCAAGCUUGAUAGUGAUUUGUUGCACGAAAGUCUUGAGUUCUUUGUUAAUAGUCCCACAUCGGACAUUAUAUGGCCUGAGCAUGUGUUUAUAAGUGGGGGCAGUCCUCACUCAACCAAUCGGUUUUGUAGGGUUGAGUUAGGCUCGAUCACACAUUCUUAACAUGGUAUCGAAGCCUCGUUUAAGAUCCGGUGGGUCACCUACUAUGGUUUCCGCUAUCGGGCCACCCACCAUUUAUUUCCACGCUCCAGAUGUCCAGUCCUGGGCGUGAGGGGGUGUGUCCUCAUUCUACCAACAUAUGCGUGAGGACAAUAUAUGGCCUGAGCAUGUCCUCAUUCUACCAACAUAUGCGUGAGGACAAUAUAUGGCCUGAGCAUGUCCUCAUUCUACCAACAUAUGCAGAGAAGAUGAACAAUUAUAUAAUAUAAUAAAAUAUUAAUCCUAUUAUUUUUAAUUAAAUUAAUAGUAAAAAAAUUUAAAAACGAACAAAUAAAUAUAAAAACUAAUAAGAUAAAUCUAUUGUUUUAUUUAAAAUUAUAUAAAAGCAAAUUAAAACAAAAUGUAAAUGUAAAGUUAUAUAUCUUCAAAUAUAUUUGGUAUGUGUGGGGGCAGAACAUAUCCUUAAAGUGUUUUAUGAAGACUUUGUUUUCCGUCUAAUCGGGGAAAGUCUCCAUUUUUGGGAUCUAAAUUGGAUUUUUUUUACUGUCUUACCCCACUUUUGAAAAUUUAUUCUCGAUCUAUUCCAUUCUAAAAAAAAAUCUCAGAAUAUCCUGUUUUUAGAGUGUACUCACCGAAUGAAUGGAUGGAUUCAUGAAGGCAAUUUUCGAAAAAAAAGGGACUCGGUCAAUGGUUAGACGAGGCAUUGAAAGACUUUUUUAUAGUGUUAGGACUUAGUCAAUAGAUGAACGAAUUGUCGGAUGAUAUAUUUAAAAAAAAAAUCAAGGAGAGUUUCUUUAAGGUCUUUCAAUGUCUUGUCCAACCAUUGACCGAGUGCAUUCAUUCGUAAAAAUGCCUUCAUGAACUCGUCCAAUGAUUGAACGGGUACACUCUAAAAAUAGGGCAUUCUGAAUUUUUUUUCUUUUCAGAAUGAGAUAAAUCAAAAAUAAAUUUUCAGAAAUAGGACAAAGCAUUUAAAAUGUCUCCAAAUUAGCAAUAUCUACAAGACAUCCAUACUAUCAAAAUGCAAAUUGAUAUUAUAUAUAUAUAUAUAUAUAUAUAUAUAUAUAUAUAAUAUGCUCUAAGUGGCACUCCACCUGUAACCUUUAAAAUUCCAAAAAAUAUUUUACGGAAAAAUGUUAAACCAAAGAGGAAGGGAGUGCAUAAAAAAGGAUGUGUAUAGAAAAUCCAAAGUUACAAAAUGCAAGCGGGCUGGGCUAUGUAUUGGGCUUAUUUUAUUUUCUUACAUGGAAAGCCCAUCCACGAAACCCUAAUUCCCAAAACAUUAAAACACAGCGAAUUGCUUCAAAACUUCAUUUUCACGGCGCACAACUUCAUCUUCCAGAUCCGAUCCACGCGCCGCCACCAUGGUAAACCUUCUCCACCGCUCUUAACUCCUAACUCCGUCGCUUUUCUCCUCCAUAACCUUACAAUGUUUAACCUUAUGCUUGUUGUUAAUCUGUAGGUUAACGUUCCGAAGACCAAGAAGACCUACUGCAAGAACAAGGAAUGCAAGAAGCACACACUCCACAAAGUUACCCAAUACAAGAAGGGUAAGGACAGUAUCGCCGCUCAAGGGAAACGUCGUUACGAUCGGAAACAGUCCGGUUAUGGUGGUCAGACUAAGCCUGUCUUCCACAAGAAGGUAACAAUCACACCAUCACCUCUUUUUAGUUUUAUUUGUAUCACUUUUGUGAAUUUGAUUUAUUUUAGUUGAUUACAAGUAAAAAUAUUUGAUUUUUUUUUGUUUUGUGUUUUGAAUUUAUUAUAGGCUAAAACCACUAAGAAAAUUGUUCUGAGGUUGCAAUGCCAGGGAUGCAAACAUGUCUCUCAACAUGCCAUCAAGGUUAGUUUGUUUAGUUUAAGGAGAUAAAGAACAGGGGCUUUAAUCUUAUUUUGUCGUUUGAUAUGGUUGUUUGUAGUUAUUGGUGGUUAUUUAUGUGGCUCUGUUUAUUGUUAUGCAGAGGUGCAAGCAUUUUGAGAUUGGUGGAGACAAGAAAGGAAAAGGAACAUCACUCUUCUAGAUGGAGAAUUAGGAUUUGCUGUUUUAUUGUUAUAUUUCCUAUGUUGGAAUAUGUUUUGUUGGAUUAUUGAUUUCUGAUAGAUAUAUUUUGUUAUUUGAAAUACUUAUUGUUAUUGACUAGUGAAAGCUAUUGCUAUUAUCAAGUUAUCUAUCGAUCUGUUGUUGUUUUCUCAUUCUUGAUAUGCUUUAAUGAUUUUAUACAUCUUU
rnacentral:lncRNA from 1 species